UUUCUAAUUCACAUUCAACAGAACUUUACUCGCCUUUUAUCUGGUUUUAGCGUGUAAAACAGACACUUUGACCAGUUCAACACAGGAAAUGCCGUUUCCUCUUCUGGGAGAAUCCAGCAGCUUUUCGGGACAGAAAAUCCACCCGAUGUUUUGGGACUCUCUGAAGUCUGAGGUUUACGUUUGGUUCUCAUGGAGGCUGGAUCCUGUCCUGCUUCUGGAAGAAACCGACCGGAAAGGAUUUAGGAGCUCCAAAGCUGCAGCUGUGCUGAUGCAGCGAAACGACGAUCAUCCCGCAGCUUCCAGGGAGAAAAAGAACUGAAAGUGGCAGCGCUCCAGAUGUCCCUACAGGAAGCCACUGGGUUUGGUGCCGUUGGUUUUGGAUCGCGCUCUGCAGCGUCUCUAGAGCCAGCAGGAGCCGUUUAGCUCUGGGCUGCAUGGAGGACGCGGGCCGUCGGCGCGGAGCGAUCCGAGCUGCUGGAGAAGUUCAGCUGCCAGGAGCCAGGAAGUGGAAAGAGAGCUCCCUCCCCAGAAAGCUCAACCACAGUGGUUUCCACUGCUUUUUAAUCACUCCAGUACCAUCCGUUCUGCCCGCUGGGUUGGGUUAGAUGAUACAAACAGCCGCAGCAAAACGGAUCUGCUGUCUGGAGAUUUCCUGAAGGGUCACUGAGGUUUUCUGAAGCUGCAAACAGCUGACAGAUUGAUGGGGAGUCCUGCAGGGUCCUGUCGUCGGCUGGUGUACUUCAUCAUCAGACCACACAGAUACCAAGAGAUUAAUUUGUUAUUAUGUGGGGAUUGUGUUGCUUUUAUCAGCCCUUUAUCACUCCAGCACAGCUGCCUUUAUGUGGCAGGAUUAUUUCUCUCUGUUAUAAAUUAAACACCUUUCAGAAAGUUGAACCAACAGCAGAACUGAGCUGACAGACA